GGUGAGUAAUGCCUAGGAAUCUGCCUGGUAGUGGGGGACAACGUUCCGAAAGGGACGCUAAUACCGCAUACGUCCUACGGGAGAAAGCAGGGGACCUUCGGGCCUUGCGCUAUCAGAUGAGCCUAGGUCGGAUUAGCUAGUUGGUGGGGUAAUGGCUCACCAAGGCUACGAUCCGUAACUGGUCUGAGAGGAUGAUCAGUCACACUGGAACUGAGACACGGUCCAGACUCCUACGGGAGGCAGCAGUGGGGAAUAUUGGACAAUGGGCGAAAGCCUGAUCCAGCCAUGCCGCGUGUGUGAAGAAGGUCUUCGGAUUGUAAAGCACUUUAAGUUGGGAGGAAGGGCAUUAACUUAAUACCUUGCUGUUUUGACGUUACCGACAGAAUAAGCACCGGCUAACUCUGUGCCAGCAGCCGCGGUAAUACAGAGGGUGCAAGCGUUAAUCGGAAUUACUGGGCGUAAAGCGCGCGUAAGUGGUUUGUUAAGUUGCAUGUGAAAUCCCCGGGCUCAACCUGGGGAACUGCAUCCCAAACUGG
rnacentral:rRNA from 1 species